rnacentral:rRNA from 1 species
UGGCGAAGGCAUCUAUCCAGGACGGAUUCGACGGUCAGGAACGAAGGCUAGGGGAGCAAAACGGAUUAGAUACCCGAGUAGUCCUAGCUGUAAACGCUGCGAGCUGGGUGUUGCACUUUCUUAGUGGAUGUGCAGCGCCCAAGCGAAGGUGUUAAGCUCGCCGCCUGGGAAGUAUAGUCGCAAGACCGAAACUUAAAGGAAUUGGCGGGGGCUCGCUACAAGGAGUGCGGCGUGCGGUUUAAUCUAACUUUACGCAGAAAAUCUUACCAGCAGCGACGGCAGAAUGAAGGUCAGAUUGAAGGUUUUACCUGACAAGCCGAGAGGUGGUGCAUGGCCGCCGUCAGUUCGUGCCGUAAGGUGUUACGUUAAGUCGUAAAACGAACGAGACCCAUGCCUACAUUUGCUAGCAUCUUCUCCGGAAGGAAUGAGCACAAUGUAGGAACUGCCUUGGAAACAAGGAGGAAGGUGUGGGCAACGAUAGGUCUGUAUGCCCCGAAUCUGCUGGGCUACACGCGCGCAACAAUGGUAUGGACAAUGGGAUGCAACUCCGACAGGAGAAGCUAAACCUCUAAACCAUAUCCUAGUUCAGAUUGAAGGCUGUAACUCGCUUUCAUGACGAUGGAAUCCCUAGUAAUCGGGCUUCAUCACAACCCGGUGAAUACGUCC